rnacentral:rRNA from 1 species
UACGAAGGGGGCUAGCGUUGCUCGGAAUCACUGGGCGUAAAGGGUGCGUAGGCGGGUCUUUAAGUCAGAGGUGAAAUCCUGGAGCUCAACUCCAGAACUGCCUUUGAUACUGAGGAUCUUGAGUACGGGAGAGGUGAGUGGAACUGCGAGUGUAGAGGUGAAAUUCGUAGAUAUUCGCAAGAACACCAGUGGCGAAGGCGGCUCACUGGCCCGUUACUGACGCUGAGGCACGAAAGCGUGGGGAGCAAACAGGAUAGAU